GUUUUAUUCUCUCUGUUUGUAUGUGUGUUUACAAUAUUAGUUCAUUUUUUCAUGAAAAAAAAACAUUAAAUUGAACAACAUAAUUGUUGAUGAAGGAUUAAUCAUCUUAUUUGUACCUGUGCGGGAAAUAGAAAUACAUAUCUGCAUUGUGAUACGGGACAUUGGCAUAAGGGAAAUCAUUAGCCCGAAGAUUCUGACAGCUCGAAAGAGGUUAUGUUUGAUGAAAGAUUGUUAAAAGGAACAUUUCUGCAAUAAUCUUCGAUCAAAAGCAUUGACAAUCACUGCAAACCCUGUGAGAAGGCUGUGUGUAACUGACUGAAUCAUUCAUCGAUUUCUGAUGCGGCAGACUGUCCCAGCAUGACCAUUAGUCUGAUGCAAUAGUGGAUUAUCGAGCGUCAGCUCUCACAGAAGAACCCAUAGUCAUAACCCCUCGUCUUAUUACGUUUUCAAGUUGAAGAAGAGUAUCGAGGCACUGAGAUACUUUAUUAUGUACUCAAAUGUAUCUGUGGUAGGUGUUCGAACAUUCCCCAAUCGAGAAUCAAUGUCUCUCGGAGUGUCAAAGUAUAAACGACGUAUCAGUGCUCUCCCCAAGAAGAAUUUCAAUGCUGUCGCAGAAAGAAAUUGAGAAUUGCCUCACAACAGUCUGAAGACAC